CCCACCGUGGAUUUAUUUGGAAAGGAUUUAUCGUUGACAAGAUAGGCAUGCGUCCCAUUAGUUUGUUGGUGAGGUACCGGCUCACCAAAGGCAUUCGGAUGGGUUAGGGGAACUGAGAGGUUUAUCCCCCACACUGGUACUGAGACACGGACCAGACUCCUACGGGAGGCAGCAGUGAGGAAUAUUGGUCAAUGGGCGAGAGCCUGAACCAGCCACGUCGCGUGAAGGAAGACGGUUCUAUGGAUUGUAAACUUCUUUUAUACGGGAUUAAAGUUUGCCACGUGUGGCAAUUUGCAGUUACCGUAUGAAUAAGCAUCGGCUAACUCCGUGCCAGCAGCCGCGGUAAUACGGAGGAUGCGAGCGUUAUUCGGAUUUAUUGGGUUUAAAGGGUGCGUAGGUGGCGAUAUCAGUCAGCGGUGAAAACUAAGGGCUCAACCCUUUUCGUGCCGUUGAUACUGUAUUGCUUGAGUAUAUAUGAGGUAGGCGGAAUGCGUGGUGUAGCGGUGAAAUGCAUAGAUAUCACGCAGAACUCCAAUUGCGAAGGCAGCUUACCAAGCUAUCACUGACACUGAGGCACGAAGGCGUGGGGAUCAAACAGGAUUAGAUACCCUGGUAGUCCACGCAGUAAACGAUGAUAAAUGAGAGUGUGCGAUAUGAAUGUACGUUCUUAAGCGAAAGC
rnacentral:rRNA from 1 species